GGAACUAGUCAAAGGGCUAGGAAGGACAAAAGGCCCCGGAAGUGCCUAGUCAAAAGGGCUGAUGGAAAAUGUCAAAAGGGCCGAGGUGAAAGUCAAAUGGGCCUAACAGAAAAAAAGUUUAGAAAGGUUUUACAUUAUUUAUUGACACAUAUAGCAUAAUAUCAGCAUAACAUUAAUAAAGCAUGUAGCCAAGUUUUCAUGUAAUGGCAAUACAUAUAUCUAAUCAACACAAGUUCACA